rnacentral:lncRNA from 1 species
UUUACUAUCCAGGGCGAGAUAAGAAUUUUUAUGCCCUUAUAUAUAAAAUAACUAGAAAAUCAAAAGUACAGUGAAUUUUAUAAUCAAACAAACAAUACAAACAAAACCUACAAAAAUCACCUAAAACAAUGUUUUCGAACAUUUUUUGUAGCAAAAACAAUUCAUACUUUACAAUUAAUCAAUAUUUUGUAAAAAUUCACUUUCAAUACUUAAAAUUGGUAUACAUUCAAUUUUUCUUGAGUCAUAAUACUUCUUAUACGAUUUCAAGAGCUUCAAUUUUGAAAAACUUCUUUCCGGAGAAGCAGCCGUAACCAACACCUUCAACAAUAUCCUACAUACAACCAAAACAUUAAGAAAUAUAUUCAUUCUUCUUGUAUACUCCAUUGUUUGAAUAGAUUUAUAAUGUUUUUCACUUUUCACUUUUGUAUGCUUCAUAUAACAACAUUUUAUUAAAACUUGUAACUCUAUCAAUAAAUCAUUUCCAUCAAUAUCACAUUCACUAUUUGUCAAAUUGGACUCAAGAUUUAAAUAAUAUUUUUUAAUUCAUCAUCAAAUAAAGAAACUAAUUUGGAACCAUUAAAUAAAAAACCAAAUAUAGAUUCAAAAUCAUUUUUUUCAAAAUAAUUAGAAAUAUCAACCGAAUCAUUGGAAGUACUUGGUGGAAUAUUAAAGUUAUCAACCAGAUUAUUUUCACUAAUAUUUUGAUUUCUAACAACAAAUUUAUUCAAAGACCCUCUUAAAUGAUUAGCCUCUUCUUGUUCAUUUUUUUUUCUAUUUUGAGCAUGUAAUGGUUGUUUUCUGGAAAAAUAUUUAAAACUCAACAAAUCUAGUUAUAAACACUAAACAAACAAAGAUAUAACCUGAACAAGAAGUCAAGUACACAAGGCAGUAGAUUUUGAGCAAACCAUGAUGUCAACUUUCAAUACAAAGCAGCCUUCUAAUUAACAUUACAGAAACAAAAAAAACAAAAACAAAAAAAUUAGAAAGGACCAAUGGAACUUGAGUAAUUUGUAAGCAAGUCUGAAAUUUACCUGAAGUAAACAACAAAUAGAGGAUAAAGAUUAAAGGAAAUAGAUUUCGAACUUAAUCAGAAGCAAAACCCAAGCUCAAACAAAGGUGAAAAUUCCUUUUCACUGAAAAAUCGAAAUCAGAAACAGCAACUAAUGUUAAAUCAUAAUAAAAAAAAUCGAAAUUAAUCAAAUACAAUGAAACACAUAAAUCAUAAUCAGAUAGUGAAAUCGAAAUCAGAAGAAAGGAAGUAGAGAACUAGAUAAGUCACCCAAAUCAGAAGAAGACAAAAUCGAAUCCAACAGUUCUUUUUCAUCCAACUUUCAGAUAUGUGAUAUGCCUCCUUAUCCUGUAUUCAAACUAAUCACUUAAUCAGAUAAUGAACAAAUGAUGAUUGAUUUCAGGAAGUUUAGAAAUAAAUAAGAAACAAAUGAUGGAAAAACGAACUCACCGAUUUACAGACUCAAUCUCCCAAAUCAAUUGAACAGUUGAACUUUUGAGACACUUUCUUCCGUUUUCCUCUUGCUUCAGGGCAGAAAAAAAAGAACCCAAUCAAGCACAGCGAAUCGCUGAUCGAACUCCGAGCGAGAAGUUUGAAAAAAAAGUCGAUUGAAUCAAACCCAAUCAAGCAGGCUAGUAGCAUUAGUUGAUUUACAGCAAUUGAGAAUAAGAUAGGGUUAAAAAUCGGACCAAGAGAAAUAGAUAGUUCAGCGAUUUGGCAGCCUCGAAACACAACAAUACGAUUUUCAGUCGUUACCGAUUUGACGAUUGAAGUUCUCAAGAUAUUUGGCGCUCAAUCAUAUCUUCCGCCUUCAGCAUCCAGACGCGUUUCUUCUUGGACUGGAGUACCUGGACUUCAC